rnacentral:rRNA from 1 species
UACGUAGGGUGCAAGCGUUACUCGGAAUUACUGGGCGUAAAGCGUGCGCAGGCGGUUCUAUAAGACAGAUGUGAAAUCCCCGGGCUCAACCUGGGAACUGCAUUUGUGACUGUAGAGCUGGAGUACGGUAGAGGGGGAUGGAAUUCCGCGUGUAGCAGUGAAAUGCGUAGAUAUGCGGAGGAACACCGAUGGCGAAGGCAAUCCCCUGGACCUGUACUGACGCUCAUGCACGAAAGCGUGGGGAGCAAACAGG